AGAGUUUGAUCCUGGCUCAGGAUGAACGCUAGCGGGAGGCUUAACACAUGCAAGUCGAGGGGCAGCACGGGAUAGCAAUAUUCUGGUGGCGACCGGCGCACGGGUGAGUAACACGUAUGCAACCUACCUCGUACAGGGGGAUAACCCGGAGAAAUUCGGACUAAUAUCCCAUAAUGAUAUUGAGAGGCAUCUUUUAAUAUUUAAAGCUCAGGCGGUACGGGAUGGGCAUGCGGAACAUUAGCUAGUUGGCAGGGUAACGGCCUACCAAGGCUGCGAUGUUUAGGGGACCUGAGAGGGUUAUCCCCCACACUGGUACUGAGACACGGACCAGACUCCUACGGGAGGCAGCAGUGAGGAAUAUUGGUCAAUGGGCGCAAGCCUGAACCAGCCAUCCCGCGUGAAGGAAGAAGGCGCUAUGCGUUGUAAACUUCUUUUCCAGGGGGAGAAUUUUUCCGUCGUGACGGGAAUUGACGGUACUCUGGGAAUAAGCAUCGGCUAACUCCGUGCCAGCAGCCGCGGUAA
rnacentral:rRNA from 1 species